CACUUUCAGUUCUGUACCAUAUCUAGACAUUUAUUUAUAGUUUUGCCUUUACUCUCUCUGUUCUUUUGUCCACACCCAGGUCUACCUAUUCCAGGAAGAUGUGUGUGUCUUUUCAGAGAAGCUUUGGGAGAACUUUGCUGGGAAGUAUUGGUAUUGAGUAAGCACUGGAAAGAGUAAACGCAGGAGCAAACAGCCUCAUUUUUAUUUUAUCUAUCUAUUUAUAUAUAUCUAUACUUUUUUUUUGUCUUUGCUGCAUCAGUAAGGUAACUGCAGGAGCUGUUGGGAGCCUCUGACUCCAUUAAUAACUUGUGCAGUGGGGACCUAUUAUGCAAGUCCUGAAACCUGAGAGCCAGUCACCUGUUCUGCUACCUGAGCCUGGGCUCUAGGGACGGAGGAAGAGAGAAGAAGAGUAGCCAGCCUCAUUGAGCUGCCUGCCCACAGGACUAAACUCAUAUGGAUAAGGCCUUCGGUACUGCUGGAAGCUCCAGAGAUCCCUGGUGGGUGUUUUUAACCAGCAACUAAACCUGAGGCGUGUGGAGGGGAAUGAAUAGACUUAGAAAUAUCAAGAUCCACUGAAGUGUGUCCACUGUUAAAUUUCAACCAAGGACACCAGCUCGCCUUCUCUUUCAUUUUCAUCAGCUCUCAACUUUCCAGGCAGCUAACAUACGCUUACAGGGUAAUUUGUAUGAACAUAUUGACUCAGUUGAUGAGUUGUGCUUUGCUCCUUGAUCCCCUGUAAGCUGAAAGGAGUUUUCACUGGGGCUUGUGAAAAGACCUCACAGUGCUCUCAGCUACUGGGUGACGGCGGGAAUGUGUUGUACUCCCAGCUGAGUGCAGGAGAGCUCGCACUGUGGCUGAUAUAUCUGUUCCAAAGAGAGGAGCAACAGUUGAUGCCUUGGCCUUGUCGCUCUGCUUUAUCAGCUCUGCACAGCCAGACUGCUUACUAACCAGCUGCAGGUCCCAUGGCUUCCCUCUCUGUUCCUGGCACUGUCAGGAGCACAAAGGUUUACUCAAUCACUGGUUUCCA
rnacentral:lncRNA from 15 species